rnacentral:rRNA from 1 species
UACGGAGGGGGCUAGCGUUGUUCGGAAUUACUGGGCGUAAAGCGCACGUAGGCGGCUUUGUAAGUUAGAGGUGAAAGCCCAGGGCUCAACCCUGGAAUUGCCUUUAAGACUGCAUCGCUUGAACAUCGGAGAGGUAAGUGGAAUUCCGAGUGUAGAGGUGAAAUUCGUAGAUAUUCGGAAGAACACCAGUGGCGAAGGCGACUUACUGGACGAUUGUUGACGCUGAGGUGCGAAAGCGUGGGGGAGCAGACAGG